CCUCUUGCCAUCCGAUGUGCCCAGUUGGUAUUAACUAAAAGGCGGGGUAACGGCUCACCUAGGCGACGAUCCCUAGCUGGUCUGAGAGGAUGACCAGCCACACUGGAACUGAGACACGGUCCAGACUCCUACGGGAGGCUAUUGUGGGGAAUAUUGCUCACUGGGCGCAAGCCUGAUGCAGCCAUGCCGCGUGUAUGAAAAACGCCUUCUGGUUUUAAAGUACUUUCAGCGGGGAGGAAGGCGACAGGGUGAAUAACCCUGUCGAUUGACGUUACCCGCAUAAGAAGCACCGGCUAACUCCGUGCCAGCAGCCGCGGCAAUACGGAGGUUGCAAGCGUUAAUCGGAAUUACUGGGCGUAAAGCGCACGCAGGCGGUCUGUCAAGUCGGAUGUGAAAUCCUCGGGUUCAACCUGGGAACUGCAUUCAAAACUGGCAGGCUAGAAUCUUGUAGAGGGGGGUAGAAUUCCAGGUGUAGCGGUGAAAUGCGUAUAGAUCUGGAGGAUUACCGGUGGCGAAGGCGGCCUCCUGGACAAAGACUGACGCUCAGGUGCGAAGCGUGGGGAGCAUACAGGAUUAGAUACCCUGGUAGUCCACGUCGUACACGAUGUCUACUUGGACUUGCGCCCUUUGAUGCGUGUCUUCCGGAGCUAACGCGUUAAGACGACCGCCUGGGGAGUACUGCCGCAAGGCUAAAACUCAG
rnacentral:rRNA from 1 species